rnacentral:rRNA from 1 species
UACAGAGGGUGCAAGCGUUAAUCGGAAUUACUGGGCGUAAAGCGCGCGUAGGUGGUUCGUUAAGUUGGAUGUGAAAGCCCCGGGCUCAACCUGGGAACUGCAUCCAAAACUGGCGAGCUAGAGUGCGGUAGAGGGUGGUGGAAUUUCCUGUGUAGCGGUGAAAUGCGUAGAUAUCGGGAGGAACAUCUGUGGCGAAGGCGACACCCUGGACCAGCACUGACACUGAGGCACGAAAGCGUGGGGAGCAAACAGG